CUGCCCUUUACGUUCCUCUCCAAGCCCCGUCCCACCACUCCUGGACAUUUGGUAACCUGCUGCAGACGUGCUGUGACAAUGGACGUUGAUGUAUUUUCAAAGUGCUUCAAGCGCUCUGUAUAAGUGCUAACGGGAAAGAGAAAGAAACCUUGCCCAUCAGAGAAGGAAGCAGCCAGCGUACAACGGAAAAUACAUGGAGGGCUGGCGGAGAAGUUUUAUCAUCAUAGUAGCAACUUCUUGAAUAAUGGAAUUUAAUAGCAUAUAAUAAACUGUGAUCCGAGAGAA